GUUGGGACCGCCUGGCUGUGGUCCCCACAGUGGCUGUGACUAAGAGAGGAAGGGGCAUCUGUGGUCGGACGUAGAGGGUAGUCUCUAGAAAGAAAAACCCCUCCCCAUUUCACUUCUCUUGACCCUCGGAGAGUGGCGAAGGGGCCCCGGAGAUGGGAGUUUUUCUGGAACGCGGCCCAGGAGAAAGAUUCUCUCCACUGCCCACCCCACAGAGGCGACACUGGCAACUGGUCUCUGCUCAAAGUUCAUCUCAGAGAAGCCUUCCCUGGCCACCUCUCCAACGCAGCAGGCCCAUCCCAUCCGUCUCUCUGCGCCCUGGUCCAGGUAUCCUGCGGCUCUGACCAUGACCUGAUAUUACACUUUGGCUUGUCCGCUUCCCUCAUUGCGCAGCCUGCCGCGAGGGCAUGAACCUCACGUGUCAGAGCCGGACUAGGAUGAGUUCGCUCUGUUUUUCUUCACCCUUGCCUUCCAUUCUGGGAGGGGAGAUCCACCGCAACACGGUGGCCCCCUCCCUUGGACCUUGCC
ensembl:lncRNA